rnacentral:misc_RNA from 1 species
UUAAGUUCAGCGGGUAAUCCUACCUGAUUUGAGGUCAAAUUGUCAUGUAUUGUCUUUAACAGACUGCUGGAAGCAGUGCACACCCAUAUGAUUGCAGAUGUCCAUAGCGUAGAUAAUUAUCACACCAAUAGACAGUCCACACGGGGCACCAGCUAAUGCAUUUAAGGGGAGCUGACCUGAGCCAGCAAGAGAAACCCCAC